rnacentral:tRNA from 1 species
CGGUCGCAUAGCAUGGACGCAUGCCGCACGUCUUCGAGACGACGACGCCGGGUCGUUCCCGGCGCGAUCGC